GCAGCAGAAGAAGAGGAGAAAGAUGAAGAUGAAGAGUAAGAGGAAGACGACCCUCUCUGUUUGUAAUGCAUGUGAUGUUCUGUUCUUAUCAGGACCGUGUUACAGCAAGAUCAAUGUGACAACUCAUACAGAUAGCUGGAGACACUUUAGGUGCAGUAAUGAAAUGGGACAAAGACACAAUGGAGGAGAUAAUCAUACAACAUGCUUCAGAGCUUCUUAAUCAUGCAGCAGUGAGAAAGAGAGGGACUGAUAUUUAUUUAUUUAUCAACUGCAGUGUGAGUUAAUUUUCACUGUUUACAUCAAUUUUGGACACACACAGUGUCUAACUACAAAUAGAAAUUACAUUGAAAUAAAAGUGGGUUUUAACUGAA